UAGGGAAUCUUCGGCAAUGGGGGGAACCCUGACCGAGCAACGCCGCGUGAGUGAAGAAGGUUUUCGGAUCGUAAAGCUCUGUUGUUAAGGAAGAACGAGUGUGAGAAUGGAAAGUUCAUGCUGUGACGGUACUUAACCAGAAAGGGACGGCUAACUACGUGCCAGCAGCCGCGGUAAUACGUAGGUGGCAAGCGUUGUCCGGAUUUAUUGGGCGUAAAGCGAGCGCAGGCGGUUAGAAAAGUCUGAAGUGAAAGGCAGUGGCUCAACCAUUGUAGGCUUUGGAAACUGUUUAACUUGAGUGCAGAAGGGGAGAGUGGAAUUCCAUGUGUAGCGGUGAAAUGCGUAGAUAUAUGGAGGAACACCGGUGGCGAAAGCGGCUCUCUGGUCUGUAACUGACGCUGAGGCUCGAAAGCGUGGGGAGCGAACAGG
rnacentral:rRNA from 1 species